CCAAUGUCAGGCCACACCUGAGUGUGCCAUCCUGCGGAGGAUGCUGUCUGCGCCAGUGCCCCAGGAGGACUGGGA
rfam:Koutango virus (strain DakAaD 5443) nonstructural protein (NS5) gene, 3' end of cds.